rnacentral:rRNA from 1 species
GACGAACGCUGGCGGCGUGCUUAACACAUGCAAGUCGAACGGAAAGGCCCUGCUUUUGUGGGGUGCUCGAGUGGCGAACGGGUGAGUAACACGUGAGUAACCUGCCCUUGACUUUGGGAUAACUUCAGGAAACUGGGGCUAUACCCGAAAAGAACCCCCUCUUCAAGGGGGGGGGUGGGAAGUUUCGGCCGUUGGGGAUGGACUCGCGGCUUAUCAGCUUGUUGGGUGGGUAGGGGCUUAGCAAGGCCUUGACGGGUAGCCGGCCUGGGAGGGUGACCGGCCACAUUGGGACUGAGAUACGGCCCAGACUCCUACGGGAGGCAGCAGUGGGGAAUAUUGCACAAUGGGCGGAAGCCUGAUGCAGCAACGCCGCGUGCGGGAUGACGGCCUUCGGGUUGUAAACCGCUUUCGCCUGUGACGAAGCGUGAGUGACGGUAAUGGGUAAAGAAGCACCGGCUAACUACGUG